GCCGGGCAUGGUGGCGCGUGCCUGUAGUCCCAGCUACUCUGGAGGCUGAGGAGGGAGGAUCGCUUGAGCCCAAGAGUUCUGGGCUGUAGUGCGCUAUGCCGAUCGGGUAUCCGCACUAAGUUUGGCAUCAAUAUGGUGACCUCCCAGGAGUGGGGGACCACCAGGUUGCCUAAGGAGGGGUGAACCGGCCCAGGUCGGAAACGGAGCAGGUCAAAACUCCCGUUCUUAUCAGUAGUGGGAUCGUGCCUGUGAAUAGCCACUGCACUCCAGCCUGGGCAACAUAGCGAGACCCCGUCUCU
rnacentral:SRP_RNA from 1 species